CAUGAACAUUUCUAGAAACUGUGGAUUUAGAGACACAUGCCUUAUUUUUUAACAUAUUUGUUUUUUUUUUUUUUUUGGUCACUGGGAUUCCAUUCAGUGCCCUAGAAAAGCUGUUGGCAACAGUUUUCUCUGCAUCAUGGUAGGAGCAAGAGACCCUGGCAGAUGUUGAAGAACAGAAUAACUCUGAUAAUAUCCAAGAUCCAGCUGGAGGCCAAAGUCAAAGCACACUCUGAGCCAGUGAGGGAAGAAGAGGAGAUAAAUUCCGAACUGAAUGCCAGGAAGAGGGAACUAGAAGAUGAAUGCCCUGGGCUGAAGAAAGAAAUCGAUGACCUGGAAACACUGGUGAAGUCAGAGAAAGAAAAGCACUCUUCAGAACAGAAGGUCACGGAUUUGAUAAAAAUAGAAACAAUAAAUGAUGAUGUUGAGACAUUUAACAGUGACAUAAGAGCCACCAAGGAGGCCCACCAGCAAGCCUUAGAUGAAGUACAAGCCGAAGGAGACAUACUCAGCACUCCAAGCAAAACAAACUACAAAGCAGAACAGGAAGCCAAUGAGAUUUCAUGGAGAAGACUUUGCGGUGUUCCAGAGAUAAAUACAACUGCUACAAUGUCAUCUCUUGAGGGCUUCUAUGAGCAGGAAGAGAAAAUAAAGAUGGACCUGGAAUGGAAAAAGGAGAAACUGGAGAGGGAUUUAGAUCUGAGCCGGGAAAGCAUCAUGUCUCUGGAAAUUGACAGGCAUCAGCUGGAUGAAAAAUUAGAAGAGAAAGAAUUGGGAAUCGGCCUCCUGAAUUCAGAUUCCACAGAUGAAAGCAACCUUUUCAGCCAGUUCCAGAAGAUGAUGAGGAAGCUUCAGGCUCGAUCAGUAGAAUUGGAAGAAGAACUGGAAGCCAAAAAAACAACCCCAGCCAAGGUGGAAAGGCAGAGGAGCGAGCUGGCUCGUGAGCUGGAAGAGAUGACUGAACAGCUGGAAGAAGCCAGGGGUACCAGUCUGGUACAGUUGGAGAACAAUAAGAAGAGGGAGGCCAAGUUCAUAAGACUGCGAAGAGACCUAGAUAAGGCCACCUUUCGCUUUGAUACAACAGCUGCCACCAUCAGAAGGAAACAUGAGGAGACCCUAGAGGAGCUGAAAGGGCAGGUGGACAACCUACACAUGGUCAAACAGAUCUUGGAGAAAGAGAAGAGUGAGCUGAAGCUAGAGGUGGAUGGCCUGCUGACCAGUGUAGAGCACAUGGCCAAAGCCAAGUCAAAGGCCGAGAAGCUCUGUAAACUGUUUGAAAACCAACUUACUGAAACAAAUGUUAGACUUGAAGAGAUGGCCAUACUGGUAAAUGAUGUUACCACCCAGAAGUCAAAGCUUGAGAGUGAGAAAGAUGAUUUCACAAGGCAGCUGGAAGAGAAGGACAAUUUGAUAAACAAACUUUUCAGAGGAAAGAAUAACUUUGUUCAACAGAUUGAAGAACUGAGAAUGUUGUUGGAACAAGAGAGUGAAUCUAAGAAAGUCCUUACACAUGCCCUGCAGUCAGCAAAGCAUGAUUAUGACCUCCUGAAGGGGCAAUAUAGGGAAGAACAAGAGGCUAAAGCUAAGCUAUUAUGGACUCUGACCAAGGGGCGUGCAGAAGUGGUACAAUGGAGAACUCACUAUGAGACACAUACUCUCCAGAGAAAUGAAGAUUUUGAGGAAGCCAAGAAGAAGCUAGCAUUCCGCCUUCAGGAGGCUGGAGAGGCCAUCCAGGAAGCCAAUGCCAAAAGCACCUCCUUGGAGAUGACAAAACAGCGACUUCAGUUGGAGCUGAAAGAUGUUGUAUCCGACCUGGAGAAAGUUCAUUGUACGGCAGCCUUCCUGGAUGAGAAGCAACGGAACUUUGACAAAGUCCUUAAUAACUGGAAGGAGAAAUAUGAUAACUCCCAAGCAGAGCUUGAAGUCUCUCAGAUAGAGACACAAAGCAUUAGCGAAGAGCUGUUCAAGCUCAAACAAGCUUAUAAAGAGAUUACCAUGAACCAGGAGGCUCUGAAAAGAGAAAACGAGAAUCUCCAUGAAGAAAUUUCUGAUCUGACAGACCAGAUUAGGGAAGGAAACAAGAACCUGUGUGAGAUGGAAAAGGUCAAGAGAUUGGCUGAACGGGAGAAAUCAAAGGCCAAGGUGGCCCUGGAAAAAGCCGAGGGAGUCUUGGAACGAGAAGAGAACAAAAUCCUUUAUUUUCAAUAUGAGAUCUUGGAGGCUAAAGUAGAACUUGAAAGGAAACUCGUAGAGAAAGAAGAAGAAAUUGAAAGCUUGAGGAGAGACCAGCAACGUACCAUUGAUUCUCUGCAGUCAACUUUGGAUUUUGAAGUCAAGAGCCAAGCUGAGGCCUCUCGGCUAAAGAAGAAGAUGGAAGGGGACCUCAGUGAGAUGGAAGUACAGCUCAGCCAUGCUAACCGACAAACAUCAGAGGCUUCCAAAUCUCUGUGCACUCUCCAGAAGCAAAUUAAGAACCUCCAAAUGCAGGUAGAUGAAACUACACAUCAGAAUGAAGGUCUGAAGGAGAAGGUGAUGGUGGCCGAGAGACAAAAUGCUAUCCUGCGGUCUGAAUUGGAUGAAUUACAGUCUUUGCAGGAACAGACAGAACGUGGAAGGAGAUUGGCUGAACAAGAGCUUCUGGAAGCCACUGAAAAACUGAAUAUGCUGCACACCCAGAAUACAGGCCUGCUCACCUUGAAGAAAAAAUGGGAGACUGAUACUGCUCGCAUAAAGAAAGAAUUAGAAGAUGCAAUAGAAGAACGUCAGAGUGCUGAAGAAAAAGCUAAGAAGGCAAUUACUGAUGCAGCAUUGUUGUCAGAGAAUUUGAAGAAAGAACAGUAUACCUGUACUCACUUGGAAAGGAUAAGAACCAACAUGGAACAGAGCAUUAUGGACUUAAAAAAAAGACUAGAAGAUGCUGAACAGAGUACUCUGAAGGGGGGCAAUAAGCAUGUCCAGAAACUGGAAUCCAAGAUCAGUGAACUAGAAAAUAAACUAGAAUGUGAAGUACGUCGAAGUUCUGAAGCCCAGAAUGGAGCCCGUAAAUUUGAGAGGUCCAUCAUGGAGCUAACCUAUCAGGCAGAGGAAGAUAAAAAAAAUCUAAAUAAAAUGCAGACUCUGAUAGAUAAACUGCAGUUAAAAGUGAAAAGUUACAAACACCAAGUAGAAGCUGUGGAAGCACAAGCCAAUCAAUAUCUGUACCAGUUUAAGACCCAACAGUGUGAGCUGGACAAUGCGAAGGAAAGAGCAGAAGCGGCCGAAACACAGAUCAAAAAACUAAGGGUUAAAACGAGAGAGAUUGAGAAAAAGAUUUAUGAAGAGAAACAAGUUCUCACUACUGCAGAAGAACUGGAGACCAGACAAUUUCAAAAUACUACCAGUCACAUGGCUACCAAUCAGAGCUGAACUUAAAACAAAAUGAGGGACAACAAUCAACCAAGGGCCCACUAAGAAGGAGUGAUCAGGAAGAAAAAGCUAAAGAACAAUGUUUUAAAAAACACAAAAACUAAAAUAAAAUCUGGAGAGCAUAGAUGAAGUCAUCAUUAAAAGUUUCAGAGAAGUCAGAAGAAUGUGAACUGAGAAAAGACCAUUGGAUUGAGAAAUCAAAGGAUGAGUUUCUGUUUGGUAAGGUUACAAGUCCAAGAGCACAUGGAACAGAACUCUAGGAAUACCUGGAUGAGAAUAUUUCAUAAACUCCAACCCAAGACCCUGAGAGCAAGCGCCCUUCUUAAUGUACUGGGAAAAAAAUAGCAACAACAAUAAUAGCAACAACUGCAGCAACAACAAUAUACCAAUAUUUGUGUAAUAUGUUAAGCUUUAAAAAGAGCUUUACAAAUA